UGCUUCGAUUCAAUUCUCAAAUAUUCUGAGGGAAUUUAUUUUUCGAAACAGUUCAUUUCAAUGACAAAUAGAUAACUGAAAUUCUUUUCCAGUUGAUCCUUUAAGGUCAUCUAAUGCUCCACCUUUCGGUCGACCAAGUAGCUCUGGACCAUCAUUUGGAUCGCCACAUUUUGCUUCACCAUCCGGUACAUUUCAAUUUGGAAUGCCAUCAAAUUCACCUUUUCCUCAUAAUCCAAUGGCUCAAAUUGGAGGUCACAUGAUGGCUGGUCCACAGCCAAUAGAUAGAAUGGAACAAGGAGCCUUACAAAGCGUACCUAGAAGACAUAAUACGUUUUAUAAUUCUACAGAAUUUAGAGUACAUGAGCUUAAUAAACGUUUGCAGCAACGCACUGAGGAGCCGUUUUCGAGAAAAUGAUCGAAUUAUGUAAGGCCAGAUGACCAUUUUUUGGCUCAUAGGACCACGUCAACUGAAUUUUUUCCGCUUAAAAUAGGUGUUAUUCGAUAGCUAGCUUUGAGACCUUUCCAACGAUACCCAAAAGUUUGAAAUCGAUGAAGUGGGUUGGCACAGUGGCCAUUGGAAGGAAAGCUUUAGAUUUUCAAAGGCCGGCCAAGGCCAAGAUGGCGGCCAAAUGAAAAAGUGGCGGAACAAAAAAGUCUUAGUUUUUGAUAUAGUUCAAUGCCUGAAAGUUUGAAAAAGAUCGGAGAAAAACAACGGACAAACACGCACGCAGACAGAACUAUCGUCUUAGAAUAAUUGGUGGAGACGCCAAAGAAAAUGUUCAAAUCGCCAUAACUCAUCAACGGAUGGUCCUUGACGUCCUUGGGCUUGUUGGAAAGGUCUCAGCGAGAAGCAUAUUAUCAUAACAACAUAUUUUGAAAUGGAUGGGCCGCGUUCAAUACCCGUUAAAUACACUGUGCAACAUUUUUUCGGUCAUGGAGGAGGGACUCACUUUUGAUAAUCGCUGCUGAAAGUACUUACCAAAACUAGAAUUUCUGCAUCAUUCGUUUUGCCAAGUUGGUUCAUUGGUGAAUUUUAAUGAAAUUAUGUAUUUUUUGCUCAAACUGGAUUUUGAGCACUUUUUCGAUAUUUUGAGACGGCUAUAUCUCGGUAAACCGUAGGGAAUAUUGUUUUUGUGUCUUGGGCAAAGUUGUAGGUAUUGAAUGGGAGGAAAAAAAUGAAAAACAUACUUACCCAAAAAAAGUGCCCAUUUUUUACCAUUUUUUAACCAUAAUUCGCAGCGUAUCCAAUUUUUAUGGCCUUUGUAUUCAUCAAUUUUGUAGUCAACGUUAAAAUGCACAACUUUGCUCAACAUACUAACCCAGAAAAAUCAUGUUCUAUCUACCUUUUUGGCUCAAAAUCACUCUUUGGUACCAAAAAUGGUUAUCCUGUUGAGUAUUUUGGCUUAUUACAUGCAAAUAGCUGUAUAUAUUUCCAUAUUUUUCGCUUGGAUUUUUAUUAAAGUGUCUCCACGGAUAAUACGGACUUGUUUUUAAGCUAGUUUAGUGGAAAAAAUCGCUCAUUUGUAGGGAUAUUUCGAGUUUUGGACCAAUUUUUGAGCGUUUGGUGGACAUUUGGCCAAAUUAAGACAUGACAGCGGUCAUAUUUCAGUUUCUAAUGUAUGCUACACUAAAGCUUAUGUUCAUAGCUGAAAAAUAGGGCCAAUACGAUUCACCUAUGAUGUACAGUUGCAAAGUUAUGGCUCCCCAAGUGAUGAAAU